rnacentral:rRNA from 1 species
AUACGUAGGGGACAAGCGUUAUCCGGAUUUACUGGGUGUAAAGGGAGCGUAGGCGGCCAGCCAAGUCAGAAGUGAAAUCCCACGGCUCAACUGUGGGCGUGCUUUUGAAACUGGAGGGCUUGAGUACUGGAGGGGCAAGCGGAAUUCCUGGGGUAGCGGUGGAAUGCAUAGAUAUCAGGAAGAACACCGGAGGCGAAGGCGGCUUGCUGGACAGAGACUGACGCUGAGGCUCGAAGGCGUGGGGAGCAAACAGGAUUAGAUACCCUGGUAGUCCACGCGGUAAACGAUGAAUGCUAGGUAUUGGGCUCCAUAGGGGUUCGGUGCCGCAGUUAACGCAAUAAGCAUUCCACCUGGGGAGUACGUUCGCAAGAAUGAAACUCAAAUGAAUUGACGGGG